rnacentral:rRNA from 1 species
UACGAACCGUCCAAACGUUAUUCGGAAUCACUGGGCUUACAGAGUUCGUAGGCGGUCUGGAAAGUUGGGUGUGAAAUCCCUCGGCUCAACCGAGGAACUGCGCUCAAAACUACCCGACUCGAGGGAGAUAGAGGAAAGCGGAACUGAUGGUGGAGCGGUGAAAUGCGUUGAUAUCAUCAGGAACACCGGUGGCGAAGGCGGCUUUCUGGGUCUUACCUGACGCUGAGGAACGAAAGCCAGGGGAGCGAACGGG